ensembl:lncRNA
AUGAAAGCAGACUUCCAUGUCAAGCAGAUUUUCAUGUGGGGAGUGGGCUUCCCAUUUCAUGCUCCCGAAGAAAUGGAAGACAUGAAAGCAACUGUAGAAACGACUCUCCUGUCCCUUGUCCACCAUUGGCGGACAGGAAUGCUCUCCCAUUGGCUGGAAGACGCGGCAGUCUCGCCUCUGCAGGGAAUCCUCCCUGAUGUCAACAGAGCUCAGCCAAUCAUGGCGAAGCUGGCUCCAGUUGGGGCGGGAGCAAGAAUUUCAAAGGAUUGUUGUUGUUUAUUUGUUCAGUCGCUUCCGACUCUUCAUGACCUCAUGGGCCACAGCAGAGCUCCCUGUUGGACAUCACCACCCCCAGUCACUUCAAAGAUGCCUUCCAUCCAUCUUGCCCUUGGUCGGCCCCUCUUCCUUUCUCCUUCAACUUUCCCCAGCAUCAUUAUUUUCUUCAAGCUUUCCUGUCUUCGCAUUAUGUGUCCAAAGUAAAAAGGACAAAAGAUUGUACUAUAUAAAAAUGUCUGUUUUUCAAUGUCAUGGCAUCUCAGCUUACUUUGGCAGUUUAUUGCAAGCUGGCAUCACUUCAGCUGACUUGAAUAAAAUACCUCGGGACUUCUUCAACUUGGAGAGAUUUCCUGAUUUGGGAACAUUGGGUUAGCUUCUUCGUCUUGCUAGGCACACAGAUCCACAGGUGGCCUGCUGCUGGUACUGGGCACCCACUUAACGGAACUCAGUAUCUGCGCUUUGGGAUUCGCUAUCUGCGGCCCGGAUCUCACUAUCUAUGGCCAAUUCAAAUUGCUCUAUUUCACAGUUGCAUCCUGAUGGUCAGGGGAACAGAUCCCCAUUGACUGUAGUGGCUGCUGCCCAGUAAGUGGGGACUCACACCGUUUCCAUGUAUUCCCUGAAACAGUGAUUCCCAACUUUUUUGGGGGGGAUCAUGACCCCAUUUUAUAGAGGCAAAGUGACCCGUGAGCCUGAUACAUUAAAAAUUAAAGCUGCUGGUGCUACUACAGUGAUGAUUGUGGUAUCUGGACCUUACAGUAUGGUUGAUUGCUCUUGGCUGGCUGCUCAGCUGGCCAAAGAAGGGAAAUUAUAUGAUGUGCAGAUUUCUGGAAGUAGGAUAAUUCACAGGGUUGUUUUAUGUCUUUCGGGCUGUGUGGCCAUGUUCCAGAAGUAUUCUCUCCUGACGUUUCGUCCACAUCUAUGGCAGGCAUCCUCAGAGGUUGUGAGGUAUGGAUAAACUAAAUAAGGAAAGGAAAGAAUAUAUAUCUGUGGAGAGUCCAGGGUGUGGCAAGAGUCCUUUGUCACUGGGAAGCCAGCAUUAAUGUUUCAGUUAAUCACCCUAAUUAGUAUUGGAAAGGUUUUGUCUCUUGUGGGAACCAACACUCUGAGGGCAGAGGGCAGCUAAUGACUGAACAAAGGAUGCCCCAGGCAAGAGACAAAACCUUUCCAAUGCUAAUUAGGGUGAUUAACUGAAACAUUAAUGCUGGCUUCCCAGUGACAAAGGACUCUUGCCACACCCUGGACUCUCCACAGAUAUAUAUUCUUUCCUUUCCUUAUUUAGUUUAUCCAUACCUCACAACCUCUGAGGAUGCCUGCCAUAGAUGUGGGCGAAACGUCAGGAGAGAAUACUUCUGGAACAUGGCCACACAGCCCGAAAGACAUACAACAACCCUGUGAUCCCGGCCAUGAAAGCCUUCGACAACACAUAGGAUCAUUCAAUUUGUGUCAACAUAUGAUUUAUUAUACUUUGCAGAAUUUGUUGGUAUUAAAGAAAAAACGUCACCACCUGCAAGAAACAAGGCUAGGCACAUAAUGCACAUGUAUCACUAUGAAUCGACCAAUCACAAGCCAAGCAUUGCCCACAUUCCGUAGAGCCAGUCACCAAACUGCGCAUGAACCUGGGCCUCCCAACAAGCUAACCCGACAAACAAAAGAUGGUUAUACGUUUACACAAACAAAUCUCUGUUCAGGACGCGAUGACGUGAUUUUUUGUUUUCCCCUUUCAACAUUUUCAUAGCUCACCACUGCCCGUCAGCUCCACAGAAAACAUUUUACGACUUCAUUUUGGGUCGCAAUCCAUGGGCAGGGAACCACUGCCUAAAAGCAUGGAAGGAUCAUGAAUAUGAAAUAGUCACAAAUGCAUCAUUUAGUUAUACAGUAGAGUCUCACUUAUCCAAGACUCGCUUAUCCAAGGUUCUGGAUUAUCCAAUGAAUUUUUGUAGUCAAUGUUUUCAAUAUAUCGUGAUAUUUCGGUGCUAAAUUCGUAAAUACAAUAAUUACAACAUAACAUUACUGUGUAUUGAACUACUUUUUCUGUCAAAUUUGUUGCAUAACCUGAUGUUUUGGUGCGUAAUUUGUAAAACCAUAACCUAAUUUGAUGUUUAAUAGGCUUUUCUUUAAUCCCUCCUUAUUAUCGAAGAUACUCGCUUAUCCAAGGUUCUGCCGGCCCAUUUAGCUUGGAUAAGUGAGACUCUACUGUAAUUAUGUAACUGUCUUAGUGAAUUCUGGCCAAUAGUGCUCUUGUUUUAUCAGUUAAUUAGGGGAAAAAAUCAUAUCUGAGA